ACGUAGGGGGCAAGCGUUAUCCGGAAUUAUUGGGCGUAAAGAGUGCGUAGGUGGUUUUUUAAGCGUGAGGUGAAAGGCAAUAGCUUAACUAUUGUAAGCCUUGCGAACUGGAAGACUUGAGUGCAGGAGAGGAAAGUGGAAUUCCUAGUGUAGCGGUGAAAUGCGUAGAAAUGAGGUGGAACACCAAAGGCGAAGGCAACAUUCUGGACUAUAACUGACACUGGGCCACCUAACCGUCGGCAACAUACAG
rnacentral:rRNA from 1 species